rnacentral:rRNA from 1 species
ACCUGAACGAGUGUAGUAUUGCAUGGGUUAGCAUGGAAUAAUGAAAUGAUGACUUUAGGAUCCUAUUUUCGUUGGUUUAGGUACUUCAGUAAUGAUGAAUAGAAACGGUUAGGGGCAUUUGUAUUUGGUCGCUAGAGGUGAAAUUCUUGGAUUGA